GGUCUCGUGGCCCAAUGGCAAGGCGUCUGACUACGAUUCGACUAUCCACUGGAUGGCGGGCGAUCAGGAGAUUGCAGGUUCGACCCCUGCCGGGAUCA